AUGCGCUCUGCGCCCGCCUGGCACCAGCCUGGCCUUUGUCGUCAUGGCUCACGUCAGCCGAGCCUCGUGAGGAGAACCUUGCAUAGAACUCUCCGCCCCUCAGGAGCCAGCCUGAGGAGGCCGAUCCCCUCGGGGGUCUUGGCGUCACCCGCCUCGCGAGGCUUGGCCCCUCGCGAGGGUCUUGUGGUGUUGAUGUUGAAGCUGGGCCGUACCAGGCCGUCGAUGGAGCCACGUGGUGGGCCGCAGGCAGGCAGGACUGGAUACCCCCAAAUCCAGGACGCCGACAGUAGCCCCGGGGCCCAAGGCGCGCUCGGACUUGGCUUCCAGGCGAAGCCAAAGGGAAAGUGCGGAGUGCCGCGGGCCCUAACCGCCUGCGGCCUUGAUGACACAUGGCGGUUGAUGGGACGUGGGUGUCUCCACUUCCCCACGCCGCCUUGA
rnacentral:rRNA from 1 species